rnacentral:rRNA from 1 species
CACGUAGGGGGGCAAGCGUUGUCCGGAUUUAUUGGGCGUAAAGAGCUCGUAGGCGGUUCGGUAAGUCGGGUGUGAAACCUCCAGGCUCAACCUGGAGACGCCACCCGAUACUGCUGUGACUAGAGUCCGGUAGGGGAGCGUGGAAUUCCUGGUGUAGCGGUGAAAUGCGCAGAUAUCAGGAGGAACACCGAUGGCGAAGGCAGUUCUCUGGGCCGUAACUGACGCUGAGGAGCGAAAGCGUGGGGAGCGAACAGG